rnacentral:lncRNA from 1 species
CUGGUAUACAUAAUCUGUUCUCAAAAUAAAGAGUUCCAUCUGUAUGUAGCCUAAGCUCAGUUCGUAACCCUUUCUCCAUAUCCUUCUUAAACUGACACAAACGAAUAUCAUUCUGUUGGACCACUUUUAUCUGUUCGAUCAAUGUUGAUUGUACCAUUAAAUUGGAUAACAUAUUCUUAACAUCGGUACAAGUCACUUCAAUUUGCAAAUCUUCAAAAUCCCUCAGAAUUUAUUGCUGAAAAGAUACAG